UGCUGUUGUGAUCGAUUGCUGUUUGAGCAUGCAAAUGUGUAAAGACGCCUCCGCCACCAGAAACCAGAGGAGCAAACCGGCUAAGCCGAGUUGGCCGCGCUUCAGACGGACUUUUCAAAUCGGAGAACCGCGGCGCAGAGCCGAGCUGAGAAUGCCCAGAAUUCGAAAUGGCUACAAAGAACAGAAACGUGUCCAGCUGCAGCGACAAAAUGCUAAAUAUAUUUGGGAAGUGGCUCCUUUCGAUUUGCAGUCAUAGCUGGGUGUAAACGACUGGCAUCCUUAACGGCUUUCAAUGCUCAAACAACUGCGGGGCACAAAGCGAAAAAAACAUAAAGUACCCACUCUAAAAAGAAGCUUUUCGCAUGGGGAAAAUACCCAAAGGAAGGAGCUGAGACACUCAAGGAGCGAGAACAUGAUUGAAAACUAACUGCUGC